UUACGAGGUCUUUGGCACAGAGGCUUCCAUAGAUGCUGCACAUUGUCAUUACUAGCCCAGCAAAGCGCCGGAGAGGACAAGCCCAGGACGGAAUCCACAACUGAGACGAACCCUCCACUUUCCCAGAGACGCCUUCUAACCCUGUUGGCCACCCGCCACCCCCCGAAGUCCACGUUUGCCAGGGCUUAUCCCCGAGUGACGACCUACCUCCCCCCAUCGUGCCUCAAACCAUCAGACUGUUUCUCAGCUGCCCUCUUGCUCUCAUGGGAACUCGGCUCUGCUCCGAACAGAGUCCUCGAAGGGACGGUGGUCUCUCCCGCGUGGCUCGCAUCCUGAGGCCAGUGGAUGACGCACCAGACCAAUCACGAGCACAGGACUUAGAGUCUGACAGGCCCGAGUUCAAGUCCCGGCUUGAGCGGUCCCAGCUGUGUGGUCUUAGGCAAGUUACUCAGCUUCUCUGAGCCAGGUAGACUCAUUCUGCAAACAUGUGCCGAGUGCCUACUUUACAACGGGGUCACCUUGCUACGCCUGUCCUAAGGAUUAUAUAAGUGAAAAGGUGUGUUCUCCAUUUAUAAGAUACAAAGGUCAAGUAUUUGAACACAAGCCCCAGGAUGGAUAAUUUAUGACUGACCACUGCUGUAUUCCUGGCAUCCAGCAACUGGCCUGAUGUACAUCAUACAGGUUCAAUAAAUAUUUGUUGAAUG